rfam:Hordeum vulgare subsp. vulgare, WGS project CAJW01000000 data, contig: morex_contig_6918
AUCCUACUCCCUCCGUUCCAAAAUUCUUGUCUUAAGUUUAUCUAGAAAUGGAUGUAUGAAAAUACUAAAACAUGACUAGAUACAUUUAUAUUUGUACGAAUCUAAGACAAGAAUUUUGGGACGGAGGAAGUACAUG